rnacentral:rRNA from 1 species
GGGUUGUGAGGUUAAGCGACUAAGCGUACACGGUGGAUGCCCUGGCAGUCAGAGGCGAUGAAGGACGUGCUAAUCUGCGAUAAGCGUCGGUAAGGUGAUAUGAACCGUUAUAACCGGCGAUUUCCGAAUGGGGAAACCCAGUGUGUUUCGACACACUAUCAUUAACUGAAUCCAUAGGUUAAUGAGGCGAACCGGGGGAACUGAAACAUCUAAGUACCCCGAGGAAAAGAAAUCAACCGAGAUUCCCCCAGUAGCGGCGAGCGAACGGGGAGCAGCCCAGAGCCUGAAUCAGUGUGUGUGUUAGUGGAAGCGUCUGGAAAGGCGCGCGAUACAGGGUGACAGCCCCGUACACAAAAAUGCACAUGCUGUGAGCUCGAUGAGUAGGGCGGGACACGUGGUAUCCUGUCUGAAUAUGGGGGGGACCAUCCUCCAAGGCUAAAUACUCCUGACUGACCGAUAGUGAACCAGUACCGUGAGGGAAAGGCGAAAAGAACCCCGGCGAGGGGAGUGAAAAAGAACCUGAAACCGUGUACGUACAAGCAGUGGGAGCACGCUUAGGCGUGUGACUGCGUACCUUUUGUAUAAUGGGUCAGCGACUUAUAUUCUGUAGCAAGGUUAACCGAAUAGGGGGAGCCGAAGGGAAACCGAGUCUUAACUGGGCGUUAAGUUGCAGGGUAUAGACCCGAAACCCGGUGAUCUAUCCAUGGGCAGGUUGAAGGUUGGGUAACACUAACUGGAGGACCGAACCGACUAAUGUUGAAAAAUUAGCGGAUGACUUGUGGCUGGGGGUGAAAGGCCAAUCAAACCGGGAGAUAGCUGGUUCUCCCCGAAAGCUAUUUAGGUAGCGCCUCGUGAAUUCAUCUCCGGGGGUAGAGCACUGUUUCGGCAAGGGGGUCAUCCCGACUUACCAACCCGAUGCAAACUGCGAAUACCGGAGAAUGUUAUCACGGGAGACACACGGCGGGUGCUAACGUCCGUCGUGAAGAGGGAAACAACCCAGACCGCCAGCUAAGGUCCCAAAGUCAUGGUUAAGUGGGAAACGAUGUGGGAAGGCCCAGACAGCCAGGAUGUUGGCUUAGAAGCAGCCAUCAUUUAAAGAAAGCGUAAUAGCUCACUGGUCGAGUCGGCCUGCGCGGAAGAUGUAACGGGGCUAAACCAUGCACCGAAGCUGCGGCAGCGACGCUGAUGCGUUGUUGGGUAGGGGAGCGUUCUGUAAGCCUGCGAAGGUGUGCUGUGAGGCAUGCUGGAGGUAUCAGAAGUGCGAAUGCUGACAUAAGUAACGAUAAAGCGGGUGAAAAGCCCGCUCGCCGGAAGACCAAGGGUUCCUGUCCAACGUUAAUCGGGGCAGGGUGAGUCGACCCCUAAGGCGAGGCCGAAAGGCGUAGUCGAUGGGAAACAGGUUAAUAUUCCUGUACUUGGUGUUACUGCGAAGGGGGGACGGAGAAGGCUAUGUUGGCCGGGCGACGGUUGUCCCGGUUUAAGCGUGUAGGCUGGUUUUCCAGGCAAAUCCGGAAAAUCAAGGCUGAGGCGUGAUGACGAGGCACUACGGUGCUGAAGCAACAAAUGCCCUGCUUCCAGGAAAAGCCUCUAAGCAUCAGGUAACAUCAAAUCGUACCCCAAACCGACACAGGUGGUCAGGUAGAGAAUACCAAGGCGCUUGAGAGAACUCGGGUGAAGGAACUAGGCAAAAUGGUGCCGUAACUUCGGGAGAAGGCACGCUGAUAUGUAGGUGAGGUCCCUCGCGGAUGGAGCUGAAAUCAGUCGAAGAUACCAGCUGGCUGCAACUGUUUAUUAAAAACACAGCACUGUGCAAACACGAAAGUGGACGUAUACGGUGUGACGCCUGCCCGGUGCCGGAAGGUUAAUUGAUGGGGUUAGCGCAAGCGAAGCUCUUGAUCGAAGCCCCGGUAAACGGCGGCCGUAACUAUAACGGUCCUAAGGUAGCGAAAUUCCUUGUCGGGUAAGUUCCGACCUGCACGAAUGGCGUAAUGAUGGCCAGGCUGUCUCCACCCGAGACUCAGUGAAAUUGAACUCGCUGUGAAGAUGCAGUGUACCCGCGGCAAGACGGAAAGACCCCGUGAACCUUUACUAUAGCUUGACACUGAACAUUGAGCCUUGAUGUGUAGGAUAGGUGGGAGGCUUAGAAGUGUGGACGCCAGUCUGCAUGGAGCCGACCUUGAAAUACCACCCUUUAAUGUUUGAUGUUCUAACGUUGACCCGUAAUCCGGGUUGCGGACAGUGUCUGGUGGGUAGUUUGACUGGGGCGGUCUCCUCCUAAAGAGUAACGGAGGAGCACGAAGGUUGGCUAAUCCUGGUCGGACAUCAGGAGGUUAGUGCAAUGGCAUAAGCCAGCUUGACUGCGAGCGUGACGGCGCGAGCAGGUGCGAAAGCAGGUCAUAGUGAUCCGGUGGUUCUGAAUGGAAGGGCCAUCGCUCAACGGAUAAAAGGUACUCCGGGGAUAACAGGCUGAUACCGCCCAAGAGUUCAUAUCGACGGCGGUGUUUGGCACCUCGAUGUCGGCUCAUCACAUCCUGGGGCUGAAGUAGGUCCCAAGGGUAUGGCUGUUCGCCAUUUAAAGUGGUACGCGAGCUGGGUUUAGAACGUCGUGAGACAGUUCGGUCCCUAUCUGCCGUGGGCGCUGGAGAACUGAGGGGGGGCUGCUCCUAGUACGAGAGGACCGGAGUGGACGCAUCACUGGUGUUCGGGUUGUCAUGCCAAUGGCACUGCCCGGUAGCUAAAUGCGGAAGAGAUAAGUGCUGAAAGCAUCUAAGCACGAAACUUGCCCCGAGAUGAGUUCUCCCUGACCCUUUAAGGGUCCUGAAGGAACGUUGAAGACGACGACGUUGAUAGGCCGGGUGUGUAAGCGCAGCGAUGCGUUGAGCUAACCGGUACUAAUGAACCGUGAGGCUUAACCUUACAACGCCGAAGCUGUU